AUAUUUACCUGGUAGCAGCGAUGCCAUGAUCACAAAGGUGAUUUUUCCAGGGCGAGGCUCAUCCAUUGCACUCUAGAAAUACUGAGCCCUGCAAUUUCCCCAAAUGCAGGAAACUGGACUGCAUGAUUUGUGGUAGUGGGGAACUGUGUUCUCACUCUCCCUU
ensembl:snRNA U1 U1 spliceosomal RNA